GACUGCGUGGCGCAGUGGAAGCGCGUUGUGCUCACAUUCUGUGAGAGCCACAAAGGCCCGUGGAUCGAAACCGCGCGUGGUCA